rnacentral:rRNA from 1 species
CAGCCGUAAACGAUGUGCGUUAGGUGUAUCGACGACCACGAGUCGUCGAGGUGCCGAAGGGAAACCGUGAAACGUACCGCCUGGGAAGUACGGUCGCAAGGCUGAAACUUAAAGGAAUUGGCGGGGGAGCACCACAACAGGUGGAGCCUGCGGUUUAAUUGGACUCAACGCCGGAAAUCUCACCGGAUAAGACAGCGGAAUGAUUGCCGGGCUGAAGACUCUGCAUGACUAGCUGAGAGGUGGUGCAUGGCGUCAGUGACUGU